GACGUAGGGCGCGAGCGUUGUCCGGAUUUAUUGGGCGUAAAGAGCUCGUAGGUGGUUUGUCGCGUUGUUCGUGAAAACUCACAGCUUAACUGUGGGCGUGCGGGCGAUACGGGCAGACUGGAGUACUGCAGGGGAGACUGGAAUUCUUGGUGUAGCGGUGGAAUGCGCAGAUAUCAGGAGGAACACCGGUGGCGAAGGCGGGUCUCUGGGCAGUAACUGACGCUGAGGAGCGAAAGCGUGGGGAGCGAACAGG
rnacentral:rRNA from 1 species